AGUGAACGCUGGCGGUAGGCCUAACACAUGCAAGUCGAACGGCAGCACAGUAAGAGCUUGCUCUUACGGGUGGCGAGUGGCGGACGGGUGAGGAAUACAUCGGAAUCUACUUUUUCGUGGGGGAUAACGUAGGGAAACUUACGCUAAUACCGCAUACGACCUACGGGUGAAAGCAGGGGAUCUUCGGACCUUGCGCGAUUGAAUGAGCCGAUGUCGGAUUAGCUAGUUGGCGGGGUAAAGGCCCACCAAGGCGACGAUCCGUAGCUGGUCUGAGAGGAUGAGCAUGAAAGCGCGGCCCAGUACCCGCCAGAGCGCGGGGGGGGAGGAGGAAGGGGUAAAUGUGGGACGAGGGAAGCAAGCUUGCUCCAGCCAUGCCGGUUGGGGAAGGGAGUCCUGGGGGUUGUAAAGUGUUGUUGUGGGGAAAGAAAAGCAGCGGCUUGAUACCCGGCUGUGCGAACGGAACCCAAGAAAAAAUCACCGGCAAACUUCGUGCGAGCAGCCGCGGUAAUAAUCGGAAGAGCACAGGUCUGAGC
rnacentral:rRNA from 1 species